rnacentral:sRNA from 1 species
UCACAGCACGGAUAGAAACGGCAUCCUUUUUUGUGGCGGGCGGAACGAAGUGGAGACCGCCACAAAAAAGAUACAGUGGAUAGCCGGAACAAGC